rnacentral:rRNA from 1 species
AUUGAACGCUGGCGGCAGGCCUAACACAUGCAAGUCGAGCGGGGUUUUCGGACCUAGCGGCGGACGGGUGAGUAAUGCGUAGGAAGCUACCCGAUAGAGGGGGAUACCAGUUGGAAACGACUGUCAAUACCGCAUAAUGUCUACGGACCAAAGUGUGGGACCUUCGGGCCACAUGCUAUCGGAUGCGCCUACGUGGGAUUAGCUAGUUGGUGAGGUAAUGGCUCACCAAGGCGACGAUCCCUAGCUGGUUUGAGAGGAUGAUCAGCCACACUGGAACGGAGACACGGGCCAGGAUCCUACGGGAGGCAGCAGUGGGGAAUAUUGGACAAUGGGCGCAAGCCUGAUCCAGCCAUGCCGCGGGUGUGAAGAAGGCCUUCGGGUUGUAAAGCACUUUCAGUAGGGAGGAAGCGUUGUGUGUUAAUAGGACACAGCGUUGACGUUACCUACAGAAGAAGCACCGGCUAACUCUGUGCCAGCCGCCGCAGUAACAC